GAAUUAUUAUCUCCAGGAAUCGUGUCCUAACUGCAGCUCACUGCCUGGAUAAACCUGAUAUAUAU
rnacentral:sRNA from 1 species